rnacentral:misc_RNA from 1 species
GCAAACUUGGUCAUUUAGAGGAAGUAAAAGUCGUAACAAGGUCUCCGUUGGUGAACCAGCGGAGGGAUCAUUAUCAAUUGCCUGGCUCAUGCCGGUUAAAACCCCGUGAACCUUUUAUUAAAACGUUGCCUCGGCGGUGGCUGCAUUGUCUUGCCCCGCCAGCAGGCCAUAUAAUACUCUGUACCAUGGAAAUUUCUAAUUACGGAGAAAUAAAAUAAUUAAAACUUUCAACAACGGAUCUCUUGGCUCUAGCAUCGAUGAAGAACGCAGC